UAGGGAAUCUUCCACAAUGGACGCAAGUCUGAUGGAGCAACGCCGCGUGAGUGAAGAAGGUUUUCGGACCGUAAAGCUCUGUUGUUGGUGAAGAAGGAUAGAGGUAGUAACUGGCCUUUAUUUGACGGUAAUCAACCAGAAAGUCACGGCUAACUACGUGCCAGCAGCCGCGGUAAUACGUAGGUGGCAAGCGUUGUCCGGAUUUAUUGGGCGUAAAGCGAGCGCAGGCGGAAGAAUAAGUCUGAUGUGAAAGCCCUCGGCUUAACCGAGGAAUUGCAUCGGAAACUGUUUUCUUGAGUGCAGAAGAGGAGAGUAGAACUCCAUGUGUAGCGGUGGAAUGCGUAGAUAUAUGGAAGAAUACCAGUGGCGAAGGCGGCUCUCUGGUCUGCAACUGACGCUGAGGCUCGAAAGCAUGGGUAGCGAACAGGAUUAGAUACCCUGGUAGUCCAUGCCGUAAACGAUGAGUGCUAAGUGUUGGGAGGCUUCCGCCUCUCAGUGCUGCAGCUAACGCAUUAAGCACUCCGCCUGGGGGAGUACGACCGCAA
rnacentral:rRNA from 1 species